UCGGCAUCGACCUGAGGGAAAAGGAGUGAUCCGCUUUGAGAUGGCCUCGCGUCCGAUUAGCUAGUUGGUGAGGUAAUGGCCCACCAAGGCGACGAUCGGUAGCCGGACUGAGAGGUUGAACGGCCACAUUGGGACUGAGACACGGCCCAGACUCCUACGGGAGGCAGCAGUGGGGAAUAUUGCACAAUGGGGGAAACCCUGAUGCAGCGACGCCGCGUGGAGGAAGAAGGUCUUCGGAUUGUAAACUCCUGUUGUUGAGGAAGAUAAUGACGGUACUCAACAAGGAAGUGACGGCUAACUACGUGCCAGCAGCCGCGGUAAAACGUAGGUCACAAGCGUUGUCCGGAAUUACUGGGUGUAAAGGGAGCGCAGGCGGGAAGACAAGUUGGAAGUGAAAUCUAUGGGCUCAACCCAUAAACUGCUUUCAAAACUGUUUUUCUUGAGUAGUGCAGAGGUAGGCGGAAUUCCCGGUGUAGCGGUGGAAUGCGUAGAUAUCGGGAGGAACACCAGUGGCGAAGGCGGCCUACUGGGCACCAACUGACGCUGAGGCUCGAAAGUGUGGGUAGCAAACAGGAUUAGAUACCCUGGUAGUCCACACCGUA
rnacentral:rRNA from 1 species